ensembl:misc_RNA Y_RNA Y RNA
AGCUGGUGCCUUUGGGGGAAGUGUGGUGAGGUUUGACACUUCUAAAUCCGCACCUUAGUGUCACUAAAGUUGGUAUACCACCCCCCCACUGCUAAAUUUGACUGGCUUAAA